ACCCCUCAUUUCCGAAUGUUCGUAUAAUUUUUUUGGUGAUAAUGUAAGCAUCUAUUUUAAUUGACAAAAGAAAUAGAGUAUGAAUCAGAGGUAACUUAUUUUUAAGAUUUGGGAGAUCUGUUCAAAAAAAAAAAAAAAGAAAAGAAAAAGAAAGAAUCUGAGGACCUAUAUGUAAACCCUAAGGACCUAAUCGUGAAUAUGAUAAAAACGAGGACUAAACUGCAAAAUGCACCAAAUGACAAAUUCCACCGCUUAAGCCUCUCUGCCUUCGUUGUUAAGGAAGCAGAGGAGGCAGCUCGUGGGUGAUCAGGGAAAGAAAAGAAGAAGAAGAAGAAGAAGAAGAAGAAGGAGAAGAGAAAGAAAAUUUGGGGCUUUUAGGGUUUUUGCUUAAAUCUUGUUACUUCGGGUCAAAAUUUGCAAAGGAUAGCGAAACUCUUGCUUAAAUGUUAAGAAUGGGCUGAGGCAGCGGAAAGUUUAGAAGACGUUGGGCAGAACUUUUGUUAGCAUAUAUGUAGUUGUGUAUAAGCUACCUUGUAUCUAAUGAAAUGUGACUAUGAAUCUAAACCUGUGGAUUUUGUGUAAGUUAAAGGAUCCCUCAUGUAUAGGGUUUUGGUAUGUUAAAUUAAAUUUGUGUAAGGAUAUGAACUUAUGGUAAAUCGAUGAUUGUGGUGACUGCAUAGAUUUUCCCCA